rnacentral:rRNA from 1 species
GAUGAACGCUGGCGGCGUGCCUAAUACAUGCAAGUCGAGCGAACGGACGAGAAGCUUGCUUUUCUGAUGUUAGCGGCGGACGGGUGAGUAACACGUGGAUAACCUACCUAUAAGACUGGGAUAACUUCGGGAAACCGGAGCUAAUACCGGAUAAUAUUUUGAACCGCAUGGUUCAAAAGUGAAAGACGGUCUUGCUGUCACUUAUCGAUGGAUCCGCGCUGCAUUAGCUAGUUGGUAAGGUAACGGGUUACCAAGGCAACGAUGCAUGGCCGACCUGAGAGGGUGAUCGGCCACACUAGAACUGGGACACGGUCCAGACUCCUACGGGAGGCAGCAGUAGGGAAUCUUCCGCAAUGGGCGAAAGCCUGACGGAGCAACGCCGCGUGAGUGAUGAAGGUCUUCGGAUCGUAAAACUCUGUUAUUAGGGAAGAACAUAUGUGUAAGUAACUGUGCACAUCUUGACGGUACCUAAUCAGAAAGCCACGGCUAACUACGUG